CAGUUCAUAGGUCUUCAUACCUGCUGGACACCUGGUCUCCAUUCCUGAUUUCAAAGUUCCAAUCUGAUCCUGUUUCUGGACUCUUUCCUGUGCUGGUAUUACCCAGUUCUAGUGUAUGCCUCUCCCUUGAUCUUUGUUAACCUUGAGCUGCUGAGCCAGUAGAAGAGGUCAAACUUAGUUCUGUUGAUUUGAAUCAGGAUUUUGUAACUCGUAUGAUACCUAAACUGGAGUGGGAGGCACUUUUGGAAGCUGCAGAGAGUGUUGAGCUCAUUGAAGGCGCUUUGAAAUGUCCAGAAUCCGGCACAGAAUUUCCUAUCACCAGAGGAAUUCCCAAUAUGUAAAUUAAUGAAGAAGAGUCCUAACAAGCAUUCUGUUUCCACCAAUGUAAAUAUAUAAAUACAUAACCCAGCUGUUAUUUUUGUGUGCUUUCAAUAAAUGGUAUGUUUAA